rnacentral:rRNA from 1 species
UCGAACGAACUCUGGUAUUGAUUGGUGCUUGCAUCAUGAUUUACAUUUGAGUGAGUGGCGAACUGGUGAGUAACACGUGGGAAACCUGCCCAGAAGCGGGGGAUAACACCUGGAAACAGAUGCUAAUACCGCAUAACAACUUGGACCGCAUGGUCCGAGUUUGAAAGAUGGCUUCGGCUAUCACUUUUGGAUGGUCCCGCGGCGUAUUAGCUAGAUGGUGGGGUAACGGCUCACCAUGGCAAUGAUACGUAGCCGACCUGAGAGGGUAAUCGGCCACAUUGGGACUGAGACACGGCCCAAACUCCUACGGGAGGCAGCAGUAGGGAAUCUUCCACAAUGGACGAAAGUCUGAUGGAGCAACGCCGCGUGAGUGAAGAAGGGUUUCGGCUCGUAAAACUCUGUUGUUAAAGAAGAACAUAUCUGAGAGUAACUGUUCAGGUAUUGACGGUAUUUAACCAGAAAGCCACGGCUAACUACGUGCCAGCAGCCGCGGUAAUACGUAGGUGGCAAGCGUUGUCCGGAUUUAUUGGGCGUAAAGCGAGCGCAGGCGGUUUUUUAAGUCUGAUGUGAAAGCCUUCGGCUCAACCGAAGAAGUGCAUCGGAAACUGGGAAACUUGAGUGCAGAAGAGGACAGUGGAACUCCAUGUGUAGCGGUGAAAUGCGUAGAUAUAUGGAAGAACACCAGUGGCGAAGGCGGCUGUCUGGUCUGUAACUGACGCUGAGGCUCGAAAGUAUGGGUAGCAAACAGGAUUAGAUACCCUGGUAGUCCAUACCGUAAACGAUGAAUGCUAAGUGUUGGAGGGUUUCCGCCCUUCAGUGCUGCAGCUAACGCAUUAAGCAUUCCGCCUGGGGAGUACGGCCGCAAGGCUGAAACUCAAAGGAAUUGACGGGGGGCCCGCACAAGCGGUGGAGCAUGUGGUUUAAUUCGAAGCUACGCGAAGAACCUUACCAGGUCUUGACAUACUAUGCAAAUCUAAGAGAUUAGACGUUCCCUUCGGGGACAUGGAUACAGGUGGUGCAUGGUUGUCGUCAGCUCGUGUCGUGAGAUGUUGGGUUAAGUCCCGCAACGAGCGCAACCCUUAUUAUCAGUUGCCAGCAUUAAGUUGGGCACUCUGGUGAGACUGCCGGUGACAAACCGGAGGAAGGUGGGGAUGACGUCAAAUCAUCAUGCCCCUUAUGACCUGGGCUACACACGUGCUACAAUGGAUGGUACAACGAGUUGCGAACUCGCGAGAGUAAGCUAAUCUCUUAAAGCCAUUCUCAGUUCGGAUUGUAGGCUGCAACUCGCCUACAUGAAGUCGGAAUCGCUAGUAAUCGCGGAUCAGCAUGCCGCGGUGAAUACGUUCCCGGGCCUUGUACACACCGCCCGUCACACCAUGAGAGUUUGUAACACCCAAAGUCGGUGGGGUAACC